GCCCGCAUGGCCCAGGGGUAGAGCUAUUACUAGUAGAGACUUUCAACACUGUUUCAUGAUGAGGUCCUCAGUUCAAGUCUGAGUGUGGGCA